rnacentral:rRNA from 1 species
GUUUGAUCCUGGCUCAGGAUUAACGCUGGCGGCGUGCCUAAUACAUGCAAGUCGAACGGAAACCUUCGGGUUUUAGUGGCGAACGGGUGAGUAACACGUAAGCAACCUACCCUAAAGACGAGGAUAACCAUUGGAAACAGUGGCUAAGACUGGAUAGGAAGAAAUAAGGCAUCUUUUUUCUUUUAAAAGACCUAGUGAUAGGUAUACUUUAGGAGGGGCUUGCGCCAUAUUAGUUAGUUGGUAGGGUAAUGGCCUACCAAGACGAUGAUGUGUAGCUGGACUGAGAGGUUGAACAGCCACAUUGGGACUGAGACACGGCCCAAACUCCUACGGGAGGCAGCAGUAGGGAAUUUUCGGCAAUGGAGGAAACUCUGACCGAGCAACGCCGCGUGAACGACGAAGUACUUUGGUAUGUAAAGUUCUUUUAUCAAGGAAGAAAAGCAAGUGGUGAACCAUUUGUUUGCCGGUACUUGAUGAAUAAGCCCCGGCUAAUUAUGUGCCAGCAGCCGCGGUAAGACAUAAGGGGCAAGUGUUAUCCGGAAUUAUUGGGCGUAAAGGGUGCGUAGGCGGUCUAGUAAGUCAGUGGUGUAAUGGCAACGCUCAACGUUGUCCGGCUAUUGAAACUGCUAAACUUGAGUUAGAUAGAGGCGAGUGGAAUUCCAUGUGUAGCGGUAAAAUGCGUAAAUAUAUGGAGGAACACCAGAGGCGUAGGCGGCUCGCUGGGUCUUAACUGACGCUGAGGCACGAAAGCGUGGGGAGCAAACAGGAUUAGAUACCCUGGUAGUCCACGCCGUAAACGAUGAGUACUAAGUGUCGGGUUAAACCGGUACUGAAGUUAACACAUUAAGUACUCCGCCUGAGUAGUACGUACGCAAGUAUGAAACUUAAAGGAAUUGACGGGACUCCGCACAAGCGGUGGAUCAUGUUGUUUAAUUCGAAGAUACCCGAAAAACCUUACCAGGUCUUGACAUGUUUUUGCGAAACGGUAGUAAUAUCGUGGAGGUUAUCAGAAACACAGGUGGUGCAUGGUUGUCGUCAGCUCGUGUCGUGAGAUGUUAGGUUAAGUCCUAAAACGAGCGAAACCCUUAUCGUUAGUUGCCAGCACGUUAUGGUGGGGACUUUAACGAGACUGCCAGUGAUAAAUUGGAGGAAGGUGAGGAUCACGUCAAAUCAGCAUGCCCCUUAUGACCUGGGCUACAAACGUGAUACAAUGGCUGUUACAAAGGGUAGCUGAAACGCAAGUUCUUGGCCAAUCCCCAAAAACAGUCUCAGUCCGGAUUGAAGUCUGCAACUCGACUUCAUGAAGUUGGAAUCGCUAGUAAUCGCGAAUCAGCAUGUCGCGGUGAAUACGUUCUCGGGGUUUGUACACACCGCCCGUCAAACCACGAAAGUUGGCAAUACCCCAAAACGGUAGCCUAACUCGUUUAUCGAGAGGGCGCUGUCUAAGGUAGGGUCGAUGAUUGGGGUUAAGUCGUAACAAGGUAUCCCUACCGGAAGGUGGGGAUGGAUCACCUCCUUUCUAAGGAAACCAAUAAAAUCAAUCAUCUUCAGUUUUGAAAGACUUAGGAUAACUAAGUUUUUCUUCGUGACUUCACGAAGGGCCUAUAGCUCAGUUGGUUAGAGCACACGCCUGAUAAGCGUGAGGUCGGUGGUUCAAGUCCAUUUAGGCCCACCAGAGUUAUAGGUGUCGUAAGAACACAAAUUCU